GGAUCAUUACCGAGUGGACGGGUCCCCGGACCCGAACCUCCAACCCUUUUGUGAACCACCUCGUUGCUUCGGGGGCGACCCUGCCGUUCGCGGCGUGGGCCCCCGGAGCCCUUCAAACCCUGCGUAACUAAGUCGUCGGAGUUUAAACAAAUUAAACAAAACUUUCAACAACGGAUCUCUUGGUUCGGGCAUCGAUGAAGAACGCAGCGAAAUGCGAUAAGUAAUGUGAAUUGCAGAAUUCAGUGAAUCAUCGAAUCUUUGAACGCACAUUGCGCCCCCUGGUAUUCCGGGGGGCAUGCCUGUCCGAGCGUCAUUACACCAAUCGAGCCUGGCUCGGUAUUGGGCGUCGCGGGUCUCGACCCGCGCGCCUUAAAGUCUCACCGGCUGAGCGGCGUCGUCUCUAAGCGUUGUGGAAACUAUUCGCGGAGGGACGGGGCGGCGUGGCCGUUAAAUACCCCAUCAAAGGUUGACCUCGGAUCAGGUAGGGAUACCCGCUGAACUUAAGCAUAUCAAUAAGCGGAGGAAAAGAAACCAACAGGGAUUGCCCUAGUAACGGCGAGUGAAGCGGCAACAGCUCAAAUUUGAAACCUGGCGCUUGCGUCCGGAUUGUAAUUUGCAGAGGAUGCUUCUGGGCAGCGGCCGGUCUAAGUUCCUUGGAAAAGGACGUCAUAGAGGGUGAGAACCCCGUAUGUGACCGGCGCGCACCCUCCACGUAGCUCCUUCGACGAGUCGAGUUGUUUGGGAAUGCAGCUCUAAAUGGGAGGUAAAUUUCUUCUAAAGCUAAAUAUUGGCCCGAGACCGAUAGCGCACAAGUAGAGUGAUCGAAAGAUGAAAAGCACUUUGGAAAGAGAGUUAAAAAGCACGUGAAAUUGUUGAAAGGGAAGCGCUUCCCACCAGACUCCGCGGCGGUGUUCCGCCGGUCUUCUGACCGGUCUACUCGCCGCCGUGGGGCCAGCAUCGUCUGGGGCCGCCGGAUAAGACCGCAGGAAUGUAGCUCAUUGAGUGUUAUAGCCUGCGGGGAUGCGGCGCGCCCCGGGCGAGGUCCGCGCU
rnacentral:rRNA from 1 species